UACAGAGGGUGCAAGCGUUGUUCGGAAUUACUGGGCGUAAAGCGUGCGUAGUCGGUAUUGAGAGUCACGGGUGAAAUCCCAGGGCUUAACCCUGGAACUGCCUGUGAGACCUCAGUACUAGAGUGUGAGAGGGAUAGUGGAAUACCCAGUGUGAGCGGUGAAAUGCGUAGAGAUUGGGUGGAACACCGGUGGCGAAGGCGGCUACCUGGCUCACAACUGACGAUCAGGCACGAAAGCGUGGGGAGCAAACAGG
rnacentral:rRNA from 1 species